AUUGAACGCUGGCGGCAGGCCUAACACAUGCAAGUCGAGCGGCAGCGGGAAAGUAGCUUGCUACUUUUGCCGGCGAGCGGCGGACGGGUGAGUAAUGCCUGGGAAAUUGCCCAGUCGAGGGGGAUAACAGUUGGAAACGACUGCUAAUACCGCAUACGCCCUACGGGGGAAAGCAGGGGACCUUCGGGCCUUGCGCGAUUGGAUAUGCCCAGGUGGGAGUAGCUAGUUGGUGAGGUAAUGGCUCACCAAGGCGACUAUCCCUAGCUGGUCUGAAGGGAUGGUCAGACACACUGGAACUGAGACACGGCCCGGACUCCUACGGGAGGCAGCAGUGGGGAAUAUUGCACAAUGGGGGAAACCCUGAUGCAGCCAUGCCGGGUGUGUGAAGAAGGCCUUCGGGUUGUAAAGCACUUUCAGCGAGGAGGAAAGGUCAGUAGCUAAUAUCUGCUGACUGUGACGUUACUCGCAGAAGAAGCACCGGCUAACUCCGUGCCAGCCGCCGCCGUAACAC
rnacentral:rRNA from 1 species